rnacentral:lncRNA from 1 species
GCGAUUCGAAAUGGCAUUCGACACUGACCCAUUUACACAAUGUGGCAUGUGGCAGCCCUGUUUCAUUUUAACCACAGCCUCAACUGGCUAAGUACUAGGUUGCAAAAGGCUGGAGCCUGCACACUGUCCCAAGUCAGAUUCUGUACUGCCCAAGCCUCCCUUAGCCUGGACAGGGCCGGAAGAGGUAAGCAAGGCCCUCCUACAUGAAACAGCAUCCCCAGCAUAGCAUUUCUAGCACACGGUCUUCCACAGGGCUCGGUUCAUUAAGCCCCACAGCAGCUCCCCCUCCCUGACACAGUUCCUAACCCAGCCUACGUGUGUGGUGACAGCGACACAGGAAGUUGUUCUCACCGCUGCAGCAGUGACACAGGAAGUUGUUCUCACCGCUGCAGCAGUGACACAGGAAGUUGUUCUCACCGCUGCAGCAGUGACACAGGAAGUUGUUCUCACCGCUGCAGCAGUGACACAGGAAGUUGUUCUCACCGCUGCAGCAGUGACACAGGAAGUUGUUCUCACCGCUGCAGCAGUGACACAGGAAGUUGUUCUCACCGCUGCAGCAGUGACACAGGAAGUUGUUCUCACCGCUGCAGCAGUGACACAGGAAGUUGUUCUCACCGCUGCAGCAGUGACACAGGAAGUUGUUCUCACCACUGCAGGUGCAGAAAACAAGCCUGGUGAGGAACCUCUGACUCUCCUCAGCUCCUUAGGGUCCAGUUACAGCCACAUUCCGACCACAAAGGAAUCCGAGCACUUUAACCACCAAGUGGUGCACUGAGAUUGGCUGGGGUUGUGAUGAUGAUACUCAUGACAGCCUAUGAGGGGCCAGGCACUGACUGAGCUAACAACCUGCGGAGCUGAGAGCUGGGAGCUCCAAAAACGCCAGCAGGGAAGAAGCAGUGGGACCAAAGCAACCCCUUCCUGCAUGUGCCUCCAAAAGAGACCUUUCCUUUUCUAAUAGAUGGUGUCUCGCUCUGUUGCCCGGCUGGAGUGCAGUGGCACCAUCUCAGCUCACUGCAAGCUCCGCCUCCUGGGUUCACGCCAUUCUCCUGCCUCAGCCUCCUGAGUAGCUGGGACUACAGGCGCCCGCCACCAUGCCCGGCUAAUUUUUGUAUUUUUAGUAGAGAUGGGGUUUCAGAAUGUUUGCCAGGAUGGUCUUGGUCUCUUGACCUUGUGAUCCGCGUGCCUCCCAAAGUGCUGGGAUUACAGGCAUGAGCCACUGCACCUGGCCUAUCUCCCCUUUCUAGUACUUAAAUGCUUUUUUCACUUUCUCAACCAAGGGAGUCACUUUGGUUUUCCUGCCUUUGGAAGACGUAAAAAUGAGAAUUCCAUACCUAUGGCAUAAAGUGUAUGGCAUAAAUUUGAAGAGUGAUUCUUUUUUAAAAUUACUUUUUCCCUAGUUAGAAUAAAAAUUAUUAAAUGUUGAGAUAUUUAAAGAAAAAUAAAAAUAAAUCACCUAUAACUCUUUUGGCAUAUUUCCUCCUGGGCUCUUUCCUAUGCAUGUGUAUUUCUUGCAUAGUUGAAAACACACAGCACCCUGUUUUCUCUUUCUUUUUCCACUUAGCAUUAUAUCAUGUUAAUCGCAUUCGACGUUAUUUAUUUUCUUGUUCACUGUUUUCUCUUCCUUCAGCCUAGAGGCAUCACGGGGGCAGGGAACAUGUCUCUCUUGUUUGGUGCAUUAGCUUCAGUGUGUAGCAACUUUUGGGCACACAGUAGGUACUCAAUAAAUGUUUGCUGAAUGAAUGAAUCUGUUAAAACAUUUUUUUUUACAGCAAAAUACUUCACCCUGUGAACGUGACCAUUUGUUUAACAACCUCUUAUGAUAGGUUAUGACAGAACGUUUAGUCCAGUUCCCUUUUUUGAAAUACAUAAAUCUGACAGAAAUAUUACUUGAUGCAGUCUGGAUUACUUUUUCCCAAUAGAGUCCCGAAAGUGGAACCACUGGGUCAGGUGAUACAACACGUUAAUGUCUUAUCUUGAACUGUAAACUUAUGUCUAUCAUGAACGGCAAUGCCACAUGAUCCCGCCACAGUGUUUGGUGUCCCAUGAGGCUUGACUGCAAAAUACCCAGGCGAGGGACCACAGGCCACCUGGGCAAAUCAGUUACUUGAUAAGAAUCACCCCCUCUACACAGUCCCUUCUCCAAACCACAGCCCAAGCUUAACUGAGGCAGGAGAGUCAGAUGCUUAUGGGUGACUUAGGAUAACAGACUAAGGCAGAGACACACAGGAAUGAGCUUCUUGGAGGCUUUAGUUUUCAGGAGGCAUCCACCUCCUCUCAUUGCGUCCACAGUGUCGGCCCCCCACAGCAGCAGCACUUGUGCCAGGACAGGCUCCCCAGGCCGGCCCCUCCACACUCAGUCACCCCCAAGAGGCCACAUUCUCUUUGGGAAGGUAAGCCACAUGGGUGCAGGAGAAGCAAGGAGGAAGAACAGGCAGAUGUGUCCAGGGACAACCCAGGCCAGACCAGGGUCUACACUCAACAGAACUGCCACCCAGAGGCAGUCAGAUUUUAGAAUGUUGACCCUGCUUUCGGCAAACCACUUAGCAAGAAUGUGUUAUUUACUAUUCAAGAUACUCUACAAGCCUGUUCAAGUUUACUGUUGUACAUACCCAACUAGCACCAUGAGUUCCUUAGUUUCUAAAAGGAGGGGGUCUUAAAAGAUGCCCAAUCAAAUUUUUUGCCAUCAGAUUCCUGAGCCUGUAGAAGAAUCACAAAUCCACCUGUUUAAACACUUGGGCCAGCACUGCCAGCAGGCUGCCUCCAGAUGUCAACAAUGAAGGCCAGGGAAUGUCAUUGUGAGAGGCAGAGGAUAAUCCACAGCUAGUGCCAACUGAGGCUGCCAGUAAAUGGAUUUAUCAUCAUUCACUAUCUUCAAUGCAGUAUUUCCCCUCAAUGAAUUAAAUUCAUAAUGAACAAACAGGAUUAUUCCCAUUAUGCAAAGAAAGAACCAGAAUUAAGGGGAGACUAUGGUUGAAUUUGCCAACAGGAAAGUACCAGCAAUAAUGAAGCUUUCCUAUGCCUGGCAUUUUGAGUUAAGCAUUAAAAUCCUUGUGAAGGAAAUUUACAAUUGGAGACAAAGCAAGUAGGGGUGGGGGAAAGUUCUAUUAGAUUAAGGACUCUGAGCUAAUACUUUUGGAUUCCUGGGUUUUCCUGGCUAUAGGAGAAGUUAUUAACAAUAUAGAGUUUAAUUAAUUCUCCCCCUAUGUCCCCAUACUUAAAAUAUGCAGGAAGAAAUUCCUUAAUUGAAACACAGUGAAGUAAGAGAGCCCUAGAAAAAUCACGUAAAUAUGUUUCAGUUUAAAACACCAGUGGAAGUUUCUUCCUUCUGAGAUUUGGUGAACCAGCCACCCAUGGCUAUGUUCAAGUUACAAAGGUUAAUGCAGAGGUUUGGGCGGAAGGAAUAAAAAAGCUUACUUCCAUCCAUUUAUAAAAAUAUACAAAAACACCCCUAUAAUUCACAUACUGAAUACUCCUAUAAUUUACUCCUUAAAAGGGGUGAAUUUCACAGUAUGUGAAUUAUAUCUCAAUAAAGCUAUUAUUAAAAAUACCGUGUAGGGGCCAGGCACAGUAGCUCACGCUUGUGAUCGCAGAGCUUUGGGAGGCUGAUGUGGGAGGAUCUCUUGAGGCCAGGAGUUCGAGACCAGCCUGGCAACAUAGUGAGACUCCGUUUCUACAAAAAAUAAAAUAGAAAAAUUAGCCAGGCGUGGUGGUGUGUCCUUGUAGUCCUAUCCAUUCAGGAGGCUGAGUUGGGAGGAUUGCUAGAGCCCAAGAGUUGGAGGCUGCAGUGAGCCGUGAU